UGGGGAAUUUUGCGCAAUGGGCGAAAGCCUGACGCAGCAACGCCGCGUGGGUGAUGAAGGUCUUCGGAUCGUAAAACCCUGUCGUCAGGGACGAAGGUCGGGGAGUGAAUAGCUCCUUGGCUUGACGGUACCUGGAGAGGAAGCCCCGGCUAACUCUGUGCCAGCAGCCGCGGUAAUACAGAGGGGGCAAGCGUUAUUCGGAAUUAUUGGGCGUAAAGGGCGCGUAGGCGGUGUCUUAAGUGGGAUGUGCAAUCCCCGGGCUUAACCUGGGAACUGCAUCCCAGACUGGGACGCUGGAGUACUGGAGAGGGUGGUGGAAUUCCACGUGUAGCGGUGAAAUGCGUAGAGAUGUGGAGGAACACCAGUGGCGAAGGCGGCCACCUGGACAGUAACUGACGCUGAGGCGCGAAAGUGUGGGUAGCAAACAGG
rnacentral:rRNA from 1 species